UGGGGAAUAUUGCACAAUGGGCGCAAGCCUGAUGCAGCCAUGCCGCGUGUAUGAAGAAGGCCUUCGGGUUGUAAAGUACUUUCAGCGGGGAGGAAGGCGAUAAGGUUAAUAACCUCGUCGAUUGACGUUACCCGCAGAAGAAGUACCGGCUAACUCCGUGCCAGCAGCCGCGGUAAUACGGAGGGUGCAAGCGUUAAUCGGAAUUACUGGGCGUAAAGCGCACGCAGGCGGUCUGUCAAGUCGGAUGUGAAAUCCCCGGGCUCAACCUGGGAACUGCAUUCGAAACUGGCAGGCUAGAGUCUUGUAGAGGGGGGUAGAAUUCCAGGUGUAGCGGUGAAAUGCGUAGAGAUCUGGAGGAAUACCGGUGGCGAAGGCGGCCCCCUGGACAAAGACUGACGCUCAGGUGCGAAAGCGUGGGGAGCAAACA
rnacentral:rRNA from 1 species